CGACGGGCUGCGCCGCACCAUCCCCAGCCCGAGCCGCCCCGCGCACUCUCCCUCUCCGCUCGCCUAUUUAUGCCGGCGCCACCGCCCACCGGCUUCCAUCCACCCACCACAACCACAUCCUCACCGGCCUUCCACCGCCGCCUCGCCUCGCCGGAGUACAACCACCGCCACCACCAAGACCAAGAUGGGCUCGCGGUACGAGGUGGAGGUGACCGUGGGCUCCGCCCGCGACCUGAAGAACGUCAACUGGCGCAACGGCGGCCUCAAGCCCUACGCCGUGCUCUGGAUCGACGCCGGCGCGCGCUGCUCCACCCGCGUCGACCUCGACAACGGCGACAACCCCAGCUGGGACGAGAAGGUCGUCGUCCCGCUGCCCCCCGCCAGCCGCCUGGAGGACGCCGUGCUCUACAUCGACGUCGUCCACGCCAACGCCGCCGAGGGUGUCAAGCCGCUCGUCGGCUCGGCACGGCUGCCUCUCCGCGACGUCGUCGACGACGCCGGCGUCGGGGGCAAGGUGUCGAGGAAUUUGAGGCUGAAGCGGCCCUCCGGGCGGCCCCAGGGGAAGCUUGACGUCCGCGUCGCCGUCAAGGAGCCGGCCAGGUACUACGACUCCAACGUCCCUGGUGGCUACCCGGCGCCCGCCGGCUACGGCUCCUCCCGGGAUGCGUACGGUGGUGGGUAUGGUGCCGGAGCUGGCGCGUACGGCGCUGCUGCUGGGGCUGGAGGCUACGGCGCAUACGCGGCCGCGGCGCCUCCGUCGGGGUACCCGGGCUACGGCUCCACCGCGCCGCCUCCCCAGGCUGCCGCAGCACCGUACGGCGCCGCUCCACCGCCCUACGGCGCCGCGCCCCCGACCCAGGGAGCGGGCGGGUACGGCUCCUCUGUUCAGCCGGCAUACGGCGCCGCGCCCCCGACCCAGGGAGCGGGCGGGUACGGCUCCUCUGCUCAGCCGGCGUACGGCGGCGCGCAGCCGGGUCAGGCGGCGGGGUACGGUGGCACGACGGGCGUGGGCCUGGACCAGAGCGGCGGGAAGACGAAGAAGAAGGGGAUGGGGAUGGCUGGCGGGCUGGCGGUGGGCGCGGCGGCGGGCGUGCUGGGCGGGCUGGCGCUGGCGGGCGGGGCGAGCUACGUGGAGCACAAGAUCGAGGACCACGUGACGGAGCGCGUGGAGGAGGACAUGUACCGCGGCGGUGGGUACGACGACUACGGCGGCGACGACGACUACUAGUACUAGAGCAACCAUGGAUCGUCGUUCCCGGGGCCAUGCAUGAAUCGGACCGGACCGGACCGGAGAGUUGAGAAGAAGAGAGGUUAUUCUCUUGUGCGUAUCAUCAAGAGAUGAAACUUAGAUCGUUGAUCUUGCAUACAUCUAGUUUUGUUAAUCUCCAUCCAUGCAUGCAUGCAUGUGGACGAGAAUCGGGUUGAAUGAAUUUCUUUUUGGUGCAACUUGCAAUGGCGGCUUCCUUCCACCACAAAUUAAAGUCUCUUGUUUGUUUGUUUGUUUCUUGCUUGCUUGCAUUCCAUUCUUUGGUGAGACGUGACUUGUGGUGGAAGCCGACAGAUAGAUACUAGGAGUAAAUAGUAUAUGUCCUUAUUUUUAUAGAAUAACC
rnacentral:rRNA from 1 species